rnacentral:lncRNA from 1 species
CUGUUUGCCAAGUGAGAAUACACAUGCUCACAUUUCACAGAGAAGGAAACUGAGACCCAGAGGUGUGAAAUGACUUUCUCAAGACUGUAAUGCUAACACAUUGUAACACCAGAAACUUAGGACACCAUGUCCAUGCUGUGUCAUUCAUUCUUCACUAGUUUAUUGAUUCAGCAAAUAUGAAUCACUGGCUGCAUGCAAGACACUCUGCUAGACAUCGGAGAUCCCGCUGUGAACAAGCGUCACAACGGCCCUGCUUCCAUGGAGCUUGGGUCGCAGCAGAUGAAGAACAAAAGUAAACAACCGAGUACAGGAAGCAUUGUCACCUGAUGCCUCAACACAAACUGCCCUGGAUGGUGCCAGCUGGAGAAAGUGCACGCAAGCAGCAGUGGGCUUUGCCUGUGGCCAAGAGUCUCCUCCUCAUUGUCCUGUAAGUUGAGACACCACUGUGCCUCUCAUGGUUCAAAUGGAAAGCACACACACACCCUCGCAAACAUACACCAGUAGGUGGGAAACUCAUCCCCCUCUAGCUGCCCUUGCAUUGGAUGACUUCCUGUUGAGCAAGACAGCCCUGAUGUUCCCCUCAACUUGAUUUCGCUUUAGACAGGUUUCUUCCCACCUUGAGGUCCUGACCUCCCUCUUCUUAAAGUAAGGCCAAGGAGCAAACACAGUUGGCCUAAGAUGCCCCUUGCCAGCUCUGCACCUCUCCAGCCACUUGCUUCGGUGGAGCUGAGUUCAAUUUCAACUCCAGCCUUUCUGCUCUCUUGCAGUAGACUUGACUAAAGUCUUCCUGGCAUGCUUAACUAUGACCAGUGCAAUUUUGGCUUAGACGCUAUGCAAGAUUUUGGAACUUGAGAUAUGCUCUGUAACGUCUGUGAAGAACAAAAAGGAGCACUUAUGUUGCAAAAUGAAUUGCGUUUGGUUUGCAUGAAACAAGCAAAAAAGAGAAACUCUUUAAAGCAGCAUUUGAUAUUUCUAAUCAAUGAAACCUAUUGAAAAAUGUGUACAUACUUUUAAAAUGGCUCCGAAGUUGUGAAAUGAACACACAGGAUCAUGAACUGGUUCCUUGGUCUAGCUUGGAUUCUAGAGGACAUAGUUUGCCAGAUCCUGUAAGGGGGCACCCUAGGACACUUUGGGGUCUUGGUCUAAAUUGAUAUGAUUUUGGGAGUACUCACUGUAGCUCUUCCAACAUGCCUGUAAAGCAGUUAUGAGAGUGCAUAAAAAGAUGAAAACUAAAUGCACAUUCACAAAACAAAUAAAUGCAAAACAAAAGCCAGCCCUUAACCUGAGUUAAUCUGCUAUCUUAAUCAGAGAAAUUUCCAUUAACUCCAAUGAAAAUGAAAAUGGAUGAAAGAAAGAGUAAAAUGAGUGAGCAGUGCUGGCUUUCCCAUAUGGAAUACAAACAGACACUGUGUCCACCCUCCAGAUCUGCCUUUGGCUCAGAAGCAGUGUCCACACCAGCCCGAGGCAGGGCAGCUACACUUCCUGAGGGGCCCUACCCCUUAGGCAUCUAAAGCUUUGCAGCCCACUCACUCCCUUGUGUGUCAUUGCCCUUGUGUGUCUAUCCACAUUCAGAAGCCACUUUUCCCUGUGGGCCAGGGCUGGAGCGAGAGGCACUCUGUUCUGAAGGUGUGGUCAUCAAGGUGAAACCCUGUGGGCAGGAACAGAGAGGAGAGGGGCUCUGUGGAUGAUUCAAGAGGCUUUUACUUGUGAAGAGAGAUUUCUGAGGGGCAAUUCAUCUGCUGGCUGGUUCUCUGAGCCAGUGGGGCCCUCACCAGAGGACUCAUGGAACAGGCCAGAGAGCACGGUGGGCCUGGGCGCUGUGUACCUCCUGUCCCUGAGAGGCCCCCCAAGCUGAGCCCAGAGAAAGAAUGGGUCAAAGCAUGCACAGAUCUCCAAGGCAUGAAGUCCCGUACAUUGAAAGAAGAGGGAGGUGCAGAUGAAGACACGCUCACACACAUUUCCAUACAUGUGCUGUAUGUUAUUUGGGAAAGAACUGUAAGGAGUUGCUGAUAAUUGGGAUGUGAAGAAGGAGGUAAGGGAGUCAAUGUCCGUGAUCCAGGAGGUGCCUCCUGGUUUCUUAGUUUCUCUCUUACCCCCUCCUGUCCCUCCCCUCUCCUACUCCCCCUUCCUCUCUCUCUUUAUCUCCCUCUCUCUCGUUCCUUCUCUUCAAAGAUAAAGGUGUUCUUAUCCCCCUUCCCCCACAGAUCUGCUCCUCUUUCCCAUCCUGUUCCUCUUCCGGCUUUCACUAUGCAUUCAUGCUUCUUUGGCUGAUAUUAACUCCAUGUUAAUUUCCACUCAAAUUACCACUACAGAGUAAUUCUCUUCUCUCCAUCUCUUUCCAGCAACUUUCUCAGGAAGGUAUUUUAAUUAGUCACUGACCAGCCAAUGGACUGAAGAAUCUUAGAGCCAGUUCCAAGCCCUGGUCAAAUGAACCAUGGCCUGGCUGGGUCUCAAGACUAAGUCAUAGAUACAGAUGCUUUUACAGAAGCUGGGGAUGAUGCAUUUCUCUAGAAUCGAUUAAAUUGAUCAAGAACAUGCCGACAAAGUUAUGUGCUGAGGGCCAGAAUUAUUCAUUAUUCCACAAUUUUCACAGGUCCAGUACCACGCAACAGGGUUAGAAUGAGACCUUGCUUUGUCAUACAGAGCCACACCCCUCAGAUCAGGAGUCCCCAACCUCUGGGCCACAGACUGGUACUGGUCAAUGGCCUGUUAGGAACUGGGCCGCACAGCAGGAGGUGAAAGGCAGGCAAGUGAGCAUUACUGCCUGAGUUUCACCUCCUGUCAGAUCAGCUGGGACAUUUGAUUCUCAGAGGAGCACGAACUGUGUUGUGAACUGAGCAUGCAAGGGACCUAUGCUGCGAGCUCCUUAUGAGACUCUAACUAAUGCCUGAUGAUCUAAGGUGGAACAGUUUCAUCCCAAAACCAUCCCCCCACCACCCACCACAAAACCAGUCCCUGAUGCUGAAUGUUUGAGGGCUGAUGCCUUAGAUGAUGAGGCUGGAGAGAACCUCUGAGCCUCAGGCCUCUGCCCAGCUGACAUUCAUGAGACAAGACAAGAGGAGGAGAUCCUCAAGGGGCACAGGAUGAGAACACACCACCCACAAACUAUUCUUGGAAUACACUUGGAAAUAGACUAUAACAAGAGUCAGGGUACAGAAAAUUAGGAUGAGAGUCAGGAAAAUGUCUCUGAAAACAUGACAUGUAUGCUGACACCUAAGCAUAGGAAUAUGCUACUGAUGUCAGAAACGUAAGAGAAACACAUGGAUAGACAAGAGUUGGAAGAAGCUUGGCAUCUCUGAGGAAAUGAAAUAUGGCAUCUACAGCAGAGGGGGAAGCAAGAGACACAGUGACUUGAGGGCCGCAGUAAGUGAUUUAGGGAAACUGGGCUGCCACAUGAAGGUGGGGACUUAGGGGGCUGGAGGUUAGAAAAGGAGGCACUUGAAGGAUUGUUUUGCCAUCCAGAUGAAAAUCCAUGUGACCUAGACCAAGGGGAUGGCAGUGCGAAUGGACAGAGAUGAGGAGCUCUAAUAAAUACAAAAAAUAAAUGGUUUGAUUUAGAAUUAAAAGCACUUGCUAAUUGCUUGAAUGUGGAGGGUAAGGUAAUAAGAGGAAUCAGACACCAUACUUUAUUUUAUACUAAGACACAAACUUUUCCCAACUUUGACACCUCUGAAGUGGGGAAUGCAGUGGAAAUCACUGUCGGGAGGACUGGAGGCAGUCAGCAAGGGGCUGCUGUUGCCCGUGUAUGCAAAGCACAGCCUGCAGAAUGGUUUCACCCACCAGGAAGAGACAUCCUGAGACAACGGUGGGGCAUCCACUCAUCUGCCCCAUCACUGUUCUUGAUGGUGGUAUUGUCUGUACAAAUAAUGAUCUGGAGUCUAAGAAAUCCAAAAGCAUAGAACUCAAUGUGAAAAAUAUUUAGGAAAACUUUAGAUUUAUUUUACUUAUGUUUUAUUCAUAUGUAUAAACACAUGAAAAAAAGCUAAUAUAUGAUUUUAAAAAGCUGUCUCUUAAGAGAUCCAAAUAGACUUUAAUAAGUAUAAAAUGAAAUUCUAACUGGUAAGAUUUGUUUUAGUCACAGUUUGAUAGGUAGCAUUUUUCUUCCUUCUCACUAGUACAUAAACAAUGAUAUAUUUUAACAGUGAUGGUAACUUACAUUCAAUGAAAUAAGGUAAGUCUUAAGUCACAUGGGUAUAUGAUCAAGUCAUUUACCAAAGUGUAAGAGAGAUAAAAAGACACACACUGAAACACACACACAUAGAGAAAGAGAGAGAGAGAUUGAUUUUAGAGCACUGAAAGAGAUACAAAGUAUCCCUAUUCAUUUUAUGAAGCUACCAUUACUCUAACACAAAAACCUAAAAUUGACACAAAGGAAAAUGAGACUGUAGUUCUCUUUUUUAUUUAUGUGAUAUAUGCAAAGACUCUAAAUAAAAUACUUGCAAACCUAGGUCAAUAUAACAUUAAAAAACAUUACCCUGUGACUACGAAAAAAUGUAAGGACAAUAGAACAUUAGGAAAUACAUAAAUACAAUGAAUCAUAUUCAAAGAUUAAGACACUUAGGAAAAUAUGAUAAAAUUAAAAAUCUACUCCUGAAAAAACCUCUUGGGAAACCAGAAAUUAUAAGAUGCUUCCUUAGACUAACUAUAAUGAAUAAGCACUAGUAUUUAAAAUGCCUUUUGAUGUUCCAGCCCGUGUAACAACACCUGAAACAACAGGAACUAGAAUGAUCAGAACAAGGGGGACAAAUGGCCGCUUUACUCACAGGCACCGAUUCUGCAUCUUAACAAGGAAGAGGGGAGGGGGACAAGGAAAGGAAAAAAAAUAAGUAUCUAUUGAGGCUGAUAAUGUGUAAAAUAUGCGAAUUUAACCAUUUUAUAUAUACUUAUGUCAUUCAAUCCUCCCAACAAUGCUACAAAAUAUAUUAAAAAUAAACUCAGAAUAUACAAAAUUUCAGUUAUGCCACUUAAGCCAGGAAAAUAGG